UGUGCCAAAGCAGCCGCGGUAAUUCCAGCUCCAAUAGCGUAUAUUAAAGUUGUUGCAGUUAGAACGCUCGUAGUCGGAUUUCGGGGCAGUCCGACCGGUCUGCCGAUGGGUAUGCACUGGCCGGAGUGUCCUUUUUGCCGGAGACCGUGCCUACUCUUAACUGAGCGGGGGCGGGAGACGGCACUUUUACUUUGAAAAAAUCAGAGUGUUUCAAGCAGGCAGCUCGCCCUUGCAUGGAUUAGCAUGGGAUAAUGAAAUAGGACUUUGGUGCUAUUUUGUUGGUUUCGAACACCGAAGUAAUGAUGAGAAGGGACAGUCAGGGGCACUCGUAUUCCGCAGAGAGAGGUGAAAUUCUCAGACCCGCGGAAGACGAACCACUGCGAAAGCAUUUGCCAGGGAUGUUUUCACUGAUCAAGAACGAAAGUUAGGGGAUCGAAGAUGAUCAGAUACCGUCGUAGUCUUAACCAUAAACCAUGCCGACUAGGGAUUGGAGGAUGUUCACUGAUUGACUCCUUCAGCACCUUACGGGAAACUAAAGUCUUUGGGUUCCGGGGGGAGUAUGGUCGCAAGGCUGAAACUUAAAGGAAUUGACGGAAGGGCACCACCAGGUGUGGAGCCUGCGGCUUAAUUUGACUCAACACGGGGAAACUUACCAGGUCCAGACAUUGUGAGGAUUGACAGAUUGAGAGCUCUUUCUUGAUUCGAUGGGUGGUGGUGCAUGGCCGUUCUUAGUUGGUGGAGUGAUUUGUCUGGUUAAUUCCGUUAACGAACGAGACCUUAGCCUGCUAAAUAGUGACGCGAACUCUUUGUUGGCGGUCCACUUCUUAGAGGGACAACUUGUCUUCAACAAGUGGAAGUUUGAGGCAAUAACAGGUCUGU
rnacentral:rRNA from 1 species